AAAAUUUAUAUUUAAGAAAAUUAAAAUCACUUACUGGCGAUGCUGUGGAGAGGCCCAUGUGAGAAUCGUGAGUCAUGCAAUUCUUUCAAACUCGGCCACAUCAUCUGUCAACUCUUAAGAAUAUCAAUUUUGUGUGAAUAAGCUUUUUAGGAGCAAUAGCGCUUGAACAAGAAAAAUGCCCUAGUAAGUAGAAAGUACAAAAUAAAGGACAUGAACAAGAUAAUUUUGACAAAAUUAAACUUUUUCUGUGGGUAAUUGUCUAUGUAGUGAGCUUGCAAUCAAACAACGAUGAAGAAAGAAGAAUAGCUUCCGUCCACAACACUUCGUCGACAACAAUACAAAAGAAGAAGAAAAGGGUCUUCUGAGGAUUCCAAUUUCUUAGAUGUAAACGAGAUCUAUGGAGAUUUUUUCAGGAUUUUCUUUUGAUUUUGAAGUUCUCGUAUAAUUCGAGAGAGGAAGAAUGAAUUUGGGGCUGAGAUAAACAAGAUUUGUGGGGAAUUUUUUAUGGUUGUCGGUAGAUUUUGAGGUUCUUCUGUAGUUUGAAAAGCGAGGAACGAAUGUGAGGCAAAGAGAAGAGGUGAAGAAGGUAUAAGAAAUAGACCGUUGUUGAAGGGUAAAAUGGGAAAACAAAAAAUGCUUCCCAAAUGAACAAUAAAUAGCAGAUUUCUUCUUUUAAGAUACUAGUUUUUUUACUUUGCAAUGCACGAGUUAUGUUAUUUUUAAUGUAAUAUUAGUGUUUUGAAUGUUAAGG
rnacentral:lncRNA from 1 species